AUUGGGAAAUCGGGAAAUCGAGAAAUUUGGAAAUCGGGAAAUCGAGAAAGUAAAAACGCGAAAUCGAGAAAUUCAUUUCCCGUUUUCGCGUUUUUGCUUUCGUGUUUUCGCGUUUUUGCUUUCUCGAUUUCUCGAUUUCCCGAUUUCCCUAUUUCUCGAUUUCCUUAUU
rnacentral:sRNA from 1 species